rnacentral:rRNA from 1 species
UACGGAGGGGGCUAGCGUUGUUCGGAAUUACUGGGCGUAAAGCGCACGUAGGCGGACUGUUAAGUCAGGGGUGAAAUCCCGGGGCUCAACCUCGGAACUGCCUUUGAUACUGCAAAUCUCGAGUCCGGGAGAGGUGAGUGGAACUCCGAGUGUAGAGGUGAAAUUCGUAGAUAUCGAGAGGAACACUGGCGGCGAAGGCGAGACUCUGGACAGUUUCUGACACUGAUGCACGAAGGUCAGGGGAGCAAACGGG